rnacentral:rRNA from 1 species
CUAUCAGGUAGUAGUGGGUGUAGCGUACCUACUAGCCUACGACGGGUACGGGUUGUGAGAGCAAGAGCCCGGAGAUGGAUUCUGAGACACGAAUCCAGGCCCUACGGGGUGCAGCAGGCGCGAAAACUUUACAAUGCUGGCAACAGCGAUAAGGGAACCUCGAGUGCCAGGUUACAAAUCUGGCUGUCGAGAUGCCCAAAAAGCAUUUCAUAGCAAGGGCCGGGCAAGACCGGUGCCAGCCGCCGCGGUAACACCGGCGGCUCGAGUGGUAACCGUUAUUAUUGGGUCUAAAGGGUCUGUAGCCGGCCGGAUAAGUCUCUUGAGAAAUCUGGCAGCUUAACUGUCAGGCUUUCAGGAGAUACUGUCUGGCUCGAGGCCGGGAGAGGUGAGAGGUACUUCAGGGGUAGGGGUGAAAUCUUGUAAUCCUUGAAGGACCACCAGUGGCGAAGGCGUCUCACCAGAACGGACCUGACGGCAAGGGACGAAAGCUAGGGGCACGAACCGGAUUAGAUACCCGGGUAGUCCUAGCCGUAAACGAUACUCGCUAGGUGUCGGCCACGGUGCGACCGUUGUCGGUGCCGUAGGGAAGCCGUGAAGCGAGC